CGGUCUUGUUCUACAAACGUCCCCCUAGGGGCUCGGUCUGUACAAAAAAAAACCUCGGUCCGAUAUUUCUCCGUACAGAUCGGAAGAGUUUGGCAAAUAAGAAGUUGAUCUAUUAGACUAGAUCUUGAGCAAUAUUGCAUGAUAUUUUACACCCCGAUUUAGUGACCACCCGGCUCCAAACUUGUAUAAGAAAAUGGUUGUAUUUAUACUUUGUUGUUAGUAGAGGCGCAAGCAUAGAUUAGAG